UCUUGAUUGAGUCGAUACCCUUAAAAAGGAUUGCAAUAGAAAACAACAGAGAGAUGAUUGCAUAAUAGCAGGAAAACGAGAAAAGCGUGCAAUGCGAGGGAUACGGGAUGUCGCGCUAACAUGGAUUCUGAUGAAGAAGGGAGAGGUGUGUUGCCUCAAUCUGUGGACCAAACUGAAAAUACGUCUGUCUAAAGUUACCAACAUAAAGGACGGAACCUGAAAAUGAUAGCAGAUGUUUUAAGAACGUUUGUUUUGAUUUGGAAGAUGACAUUUUUCCAAGCCCAUUGGGAGAACCGGAUAAACACGUUGGUACCAGUCUGGUGUUCUGCAAGACGAAACUGUUGGUGACUGUGACGUCGUAGGGAAGAACAAGCUUAAGAAGAUCAGAAAUAGUACAUCCAGUACGAACAAGUCUUUGGGAAAUAUCUCCAAUUCGAAAGUGACCACAACUGAUGAAUUCCUUCCAGUAACUAUAAUACAUUGUCAUUAUCAUCAAACAUCGGCAUAAAUACCUGGAAUGAACAAUAUUAACAAUCGUCUGACAAUAAAACGAAUGCUCUUUGA